GCUGACACAUCCCUGCCAAUCUCCGGCAGACCCUCCCUCCUAGACCCUCCUACCUCCUGGACAGCAUCCAUGUUGAAGCUGCCUUCAACAUGGAUGCUGUCCAGGAGGUGGGAGGGUCUGGGAGGGAGGGUCUGCCGGAGAUUGGCAGGGAUGUGUCAG